GGGGGCAUAGCUCAGCUGGCUAGAGCAUCGGCUUUGCAAGCCGAGGGUCAGGGGUUCGAAUCCCCUUGCCUCCA
rfam:Sphaerochaeta globosa str. Buddy, complete genome.